CAUGAACUAUUUUCACAUCAAACAUAAGCCCGUCAAAAAGAAACAUUACACAGUAAACAUUCAUAUUUUGCCAUAACAUUUUAUUAAAAAAAUUUAAAAUAAUUAAAAAACAAAAAUGGGAAAAAUGUUUACACACCUCCUUCCUCGUCACUACUACUUCAGAGCUGGAUAACAUCUGUAGCUAUAUCCUGCAUUGCGAGCAACUUCUAGUUAUUAAUGGAUUCAAAACGACGAGCAUACUGAGCUAAUAUCUUAAGGAUGGCGGUUCCUUUACGAAUAUAACUCAUUUUAAACCAGAAAUUUCAAUGUUGUAUUUGUUGAGCUGAAUUAUUAUUAUGCAUACACUUAAUAAAACGCCUUUUCCGGUCACAAAAUAGACUAAA